GGCAACCAAAAUCCAGCCUGAGAGAGACUUUCCCCCAGCCACCCCCACCCCUUUUUCUUUUUUCUCCAAGGCUGCACUUUGGAAGAGGUGCAGUCAUUCUUCCCCACACCCCCUACCCUCUCUCCACUCCCCCAACUAUAAAUUCCCUUCUGUAGCAUGCUGCCCUUUUUUAAUCCACAUUUGUGUUUCAGAUCAUGUAGAAAGGACAGAAAGUGAACAGGGAGCGGGGGCUUUUGUCUAUUGUUCUCCUUGUGCUACUUGAGAGAAACUGCAAUCCCAAGACUUAACAGAAUCUAAAAAUGGUUUAUCAACCAAGGUUAACGAUUUGGGUAAGCCAGAAAAUCUUUCCAACCAGCCGAGGGGAUGGGGGAUUUCCCAAGGGAAAUCUCCCCAUCUCGAAGGAAGUAAAUCGCAAGAAGAAAAGUGAGGCGGAAGGGGCAUGCCUGGUUCCAGUAAAUGGCUAUGGACACCAUUUCACCAAAAUCAAUUACCUCUACUCUUUUUAGUCAUAAUUUCUCCAUUUGUAUUACAUAUGGUGUAUGGGUUUGAUGAGGUCAUGGUGUCAUAUAUUGGGAAUUGUUUCUGUGUAAAUCAUCAAGUGUAAGAAGAAACUAUGGGACUCUGAGCCUUGCUUUAGAGAAUAACAGUGGACAAACGUGUACCAUAAAAAAUAGUUUUUAACAUUCUGACUCAAGCGAAAGCUCUCAGAAUUUCACACUGUGAAUCCAUGUUUACAAACAUUACAGGUGGGCCCUCAGGCCUGGUUCUACCACAGCAAUGUCUUCCACUACUCAAACUCCACUGCUCACAUGCAACCGGUAAAUUGCUCUCUCCAUUUCCACCAUCCUGAACUGCUUCUUGCAGAGGCUGAGAGUCCCCCUUUUUUUCAUUUAGAUGUAACAAGCCUAGUAGUUUAUUUUCAUCGAUUGUCUGUAUAUCU